GGGGAUAUAGCUUAGUUGUUAAAGGGCUUGCCUAGCAUAAGUCUCUGGGUUCAAUCCCCAGUAUCAUCC
rfam:Ictidomys tridecemlineatus contig014718, whole genome shotgun sequence.